ACCAGGAGGUAGAGCUUUGCCCUACCAGGAAAGGCUAAAAUUCCUGAAGGCACCAAAGCUCAGACUGGAUUAUUCAUCCAUUUACAUCACUUCAUGUGUCAGCCAUCAAAGCGAGGCUGAUGUUUGAGUCUUGGGAUCAAGCUCUCGCUGACUCACCCCACCCCAGGCAAUUGGUGGUUGACUGCAGUGCUGCAAACAUGCCCACUAUAGCCACAACCUCUUGGACUCAAGUGAUCCACCUGUCACAGCCACCCAAGUAACUGAGACUACAGAUCCACCUUGAAGCAAAUGCUGGAGGACAUAUUUCAGGCUAAAAGGAAAGGAUGUCAGUUGGGAACUCCUACCAAAAAACAGAUCCAAAAGAAGAAUGAAUCAUCGAUGUGGUAAAUUAUUUGUGAAUAUAUGAGAAAUAUGUCUUCUUUACUUAAUUUAUUUAAAAUAAAACUGAUUAUUAAAAGCAAAAAUAUUAGUAAUGUGUUG